UGGACCUGUCUGUGCGUUCUCCUGCGUGG
rnacentral:piRNA from 1 species